UACGUAGGGUGCAAGCGUUGUCCGGAAUUAUUGGGCGUAAAGAGCUCGUAGGCGGUUCGUCGCGUCGGCUGUGAAAACCCGGAGCUCAACUCCGGGCCUGCAGUCGAUACGGGCGGACUCGAGUUCGGCAGGGGAGACUGGAAUUCCUGGUGUAGCGGUGAAAUGCGUAGAUAUCGUAAGGAAGACCAGUGGCGAAGGCGGGUCUCUGGACAGUUCCUGACGCUGAGGCACGAAGGUCAGGGGAGCAAACGGGG
rnacentral:rRNA from 1 species